GCUUGUAUAAUAGAAAUUAGUAUAAAUUGAACACGAGAGUAUGUUCGGGCGUCCUUGAUACUUAGAGCUGAUGCCCAUCCUGUCUCAUGCCUUAUAAUGUGUACUUAUGUCUAGGCUCUUACGUCCUGUUUUCCUGCUUUCAUCACUGGGUAGGACUUGUAUGCAUGUGUGUUCCAUUCUGCAACUCGGGCUGUGCUGUUGUCUGUCAUGAGAGUCCUCUGUGUGUAGGAGUCUCCAACACGCAGGUGCAUUUGGUAGCUCAUGGGUGCCUUCCCAAUGAUUUUCAGACAGUGUUUCUACAAUGCUUUCCCCAUUCCUGAAUCUCAACAUGAAGGAACAUUUGGCAGAGGAUGUUCAAAUAGUGGCUUUGAAAACCCAAAUCAAACUCUGAACUCAUUUACUAAAGGGAAAGUAUAUGUGGUUUGGCUAGCCCUAAAUCACCCUCUAUGACAAUGUUUAAGCAGUGACUUGGUCUGUCCAAGCUGCUGUAAGUAUAAUAGAUCUGUGGCUUAUAAAGCAUGGUCAUUUGUCUCUUCGUUUUGGGGAUGGGAAGUCCAAUAUCAAAGUGCAUGAAGGUUCAGUGAUGGGGAAGGUUGGCUGGGGGAUUCCGGACCUGCCCUCUGGUGGUGUCUUCACACAGUAAACGGACAAAGAAGCUCUUUGGAGACUUGGUACACAGGUCCAGGUGUCACUCACAUGGUUGGGUGACUUAAUCACCUGCAAAUAUCAUACCUCCAACGAAGUCUUUUACCUUGAGCACUGGGAGGCCUACAUAUGAAUUUGGAGUGCACAGACAUCAACCCACGGAACCCUGCAAUUCUCACGGCAAUUUAGUAACUGAAAAGAUUUUUGUUGCCAUUUAAAACCAUAAGACUAAGUUGCAUAUUCUUGGGCAGAGUCCACCAAACUGAGUUCUGUACCAGUUGCUGCCUUGAUGGAUCCUACCAGGUCAGUGCCAGAGGGACAGUUGACUGUCCUUGUACACAUCUGCAGUUUUUAAAUGAUAUGCCUUAGAGCAUAGCAUGUAUCCACUAAAAUUAUAACUUAGAGUUGGAAACAAGACAAUUUGUAGGAAAAAAAAUUAUCCAAGAGUGUGCUAACGGUAGAUAAAUAUAUAAAUGUUUUGGUAUUGGCAAAGCUGCUUCCUUAUUUAUCCUCAGCUUUUGGUGAAUGCCAGAAUGAUUCAGAAGUUACUAACAGUUUCUGAGUUUAGUCCAGAGAGUUUCAUGUAACAGUAUAGUGCAAAAGGCGAGAGCUGACAGCCAUGUGUGACCAUGUGGCAGCAUCAGGAACCCUAGCAUCUAUGAGGUGAAGACAGAAGGAACAAGUUCAUGGCCUAACUGACCCAUAUAGUGAUGUUGUCCUGGAGAGGGAGAAACAGUGAGAUUUACUUCACUUUGUGUUGCUGAAUAAUAUUCCAGUUUGUCAAGGUACUCCAGUACCCAUGCAGACCUUAAAAGGCAGCUUAGUAGCUUCCAAUUUGGUCUAUGUAAUAGGCCUCUGACACACUUUGGCUCUAACGUGAGAUCUAUGAAUGUGACCAGGGACAAAGUGGUGGUUUGACACUCUAAUCUUUGUUCCACAACAGUGACUUCCAACCUUCUAAGAGACAUGAAGCUCUUUAAGCUCUUGAGUUUGUAGCUGGAGGUCUACAUCUCAGGUGGACUGUAUGACAUUUGUUCUUAAAGCUGAAUUGCAUGUGAGCACUUCCGGCCAUUUCCCAUGAGCUAGACAACAGUGUCUUAAUAUAUUCACAUCCCAAGGCCCUCGUGCACUGCCUUUAAUGCUUGGCACAGGGUAGCUAGUUUAAUCCUUACCACAAUCUUUUCAGACAAGUCCAUGGAUUUAUUUCAUUUCACAGAUGAUAAACAGAAGCACCAAGGCCAAGAGUCAACAGGAUAUAGGCUAUCGGGCUGAUGCACCAGGCACUUGACCACAGACUUUCUUCCUUGAAACAAAUGCAAGCAGACCAUAGUUCACAAGGAAAAGAGUUAUGAAUGGAAGUUGAUAGAAAGUCACCUUGGAUGAUUUUAAUAUGGACUUCAGUCUUCAGAAUGUCUCAACCAUAAAGCCCUGUUAGGGUAACUGACCACUCUGGGGACACACACACACACACACACAUACACACCCUUUAAUAGACUAUGUAUGAUCAUCCUACUUGGUUUCUGUAUUACUUUUGUUAUUGAUAGUGCUUUGCAUACAUAGUCAUGUUCUCCUGAGACUUAUUUUGAAAUUCUAUAGAACAAUGUGUGCUUCUCUCUUUUUAAUGCAAACAACAACAACACCCACAGUUACAGACUGAGACUUAUCUUUAUCAUCAAUUGAAGAAAAUUAAAUAAUCUUGAUUUUAUUUAUGAGGGUGUUUCUUGUAUCUGGCAAGUGUAGUCAUUGAUGUCACCGGCUUACAGUCUGAUUUCAACACCAAGGUUGUAGACAGUGGUAGCACAUGUCUAUCACUUGGGAGAGAGAGACAAGCAGAUCUUGGAGUCCGAGGCCAACCUGGUCAACCUAGUGAAUUCCAGGACAGCCAGGGCUACACUGAGAAUGCUGCCUAGGAAAACUAAAGCAAAAACAAAACAAAAAAAGCAACACCAAGGUGGGUUUGGUCAGUCUGGUUCUCUUCUGGAGUGCUCUGACAGGACCUUCUCUUGAUGUUGGAGUGCUCUGACAGGACCUUCUCUUCAUGUUGUGCAUAUUCUUUAAUCUUCUAUCUGAAAAAGAAAAGAAAACAAAGCAAAAAAACCUAGUAACACCUUGAGAUACAAUGAGAUGGUUUCGUAUCUUUAUAUAUACAGAUAGUAUUCUUACACUGAAUUACAAAGCACCAAUCCCUUGCUCAUCUACAUUAAAAUAUGUUUUAAUUGCCCUAUAAGCAAGGAAAAGUAAGCCCGGGAUUAGUAUGAACUUUGUAUUUCACGGUCAGCUCAUUAUUUGAUGUUAGCCUAAAGCAUUGUAGGAUUACAGACACAUAGGGUUUAAAAGGCAAGAAGGAUGGGUUUGCUUCACUCUGUUAUUUUAUACGUGAAAAAACUAGAAUCAUGAGGCACUAAAUGCUUUGUCCGAGGUUGGAUAAAAUAACUCCCCUCAUUGUUGACACUCAUGGGGAAGGACUCUGGGAGAAAGUUAUAAACAGGCUGUCACAGGAGCUCGUAAAGUCAGUUGGGGGAAUAAAUAAAUAUGGCUGUGGAUGAAACCUCUUCAGUCUGUGAUUCAGAGGAUGGCUAUAGUGAUAGCUGGAGAAAUGGGAGGACAUAAACUUAAUCGGAUGCUCCGCAUUGUCAGUGAUACACGGGCUCCAUUGAGCACUCAGGUGACUUGCUCCUUUUAUGAGCACACAGCUCUUGAGGCAUCACACAAGUAGUCCUCAGGUACCCUGGAGAGAAGAC
rnacentral:lncRNA from 1 species